rnacentral:lncRNA from 1 species
CCAAAACCAAAUUAAACAGUCCCCCCUUUCCUGCGGUUUUUCUUUCCAGGGUUUGAGGUUUCAGUUGCUUGUGGUCAACUGUGGUCUGAAAAUAGAUGCCUGGAAGUGCCAUUGAGUAACACAAUACAAAUGACCAGCGGUUGCAGCAGCCUGCUUCUUGCUGCAGCCAAGCAAACACAGGACGUGAGAUGACCACAAAUGGUCAGCCCCUGCGGACAGCAUGCCUGAUGAGAGUACUCACCCAAAAUAAGCAAACUACAACUGAGUUGGGGACUCCUAAAUGUCACAGCAAGGCAAAUUCCAACUUCUCUUGACUUUGUGAGAUGCUAUAAUUAAAAAUAAAUAUGCAAGCCUGGGCACUCACCCCUGAGUAAAGAUUUCAUGAGCUGUUGUGCUGUGACAGGCCAUUAGGGUAAUUAGGCUCAGCUUUCUGUCGCUUGUGUUGGCUUCUCAAGGCAAGUGGGGGUAGGGUAACGGUUGGAAGUGGGAAUGAGGAUGCUAAGCCCUUAGUUCUUGCUGGGAGG